rfam:Rattus norvegicus chromosome 10, whole genome shotgun sequence.
UGAUGUGGGGACGAUCUAGCUAAGACAUCUGUCAUCAUAUUGAUCACCAAGGUUUGAUUGGGUUUAUCUGGCUUGCUCUCUGGGUGUUUCCUUCCUCCCUCACAGCUCCAAGUGUGUACCUCUUGAAUGAUACUGGGUUGAAGAAAUCGACCUUCUGUUAUAGAAGAGGACCAAUUCCGGGUCAAGGAUAGACAAGUAGCUAUUGUGCUCAUUUGAAGGUGGGUAUAAAGUGGUCAGGUGUCCAAAACUCUUAACAUGCCUGUAGUGGAUGAAAAUGGCCCCCAUAGAC